rnacentral:rRNA from 1 species
GACUGGAUGUUGAUCGCAUGGUCUUCUGGGAAGCUUUCGCGGUAUGGGAUGGGGUCGCGUCCUAUCAGCUUGACGGCGGGGUAACGGCCCACCGUGGCUUCGACGGGUAGCCGGCCUGAGAGGGCGACCGGCCACAUUGGGACUGAGAUACGGCCCAGACUCCUACGGGAGGCAGCAGUGGGGAAUAUUGCACAAUGGGCGCAAGCCUGAUGCAGCGACGCCGCGUGAGGGAUGGAGGCCUUCGGGUUGUAAACCUCUUUUAUCGGGGAGCAAGCGUGAGUGAGUUUACCCGUUGAAUAAGCACCGGCUAACUACGUGCCAGCAGCCGCGGUAAUACGUAGGGUGCAAGCGUUAUCCGGAAUUAUUGGGCGUAAAGGGCUCGUAGGCGGUUCGUCGCGUCCGGUGUGAAAGUCCAUCGCUUAACGGUGGAUCCGCGCCGGGUACGGGCGGGCUUGAGUGCGGUAGGGGAGACUGGAAUUCCCGGUGUAACGGUGGAAUGUGUAGAUAUCGGAAAGAACACCCA